GAUGAAGAACGUAGCAAAAUGCGAUACUUGGUGUGAAUUGCAGAAUCCCGUGAACCAUCGAGUUUUUGAACGCAAGUUGCGCCCAAAGCCUUUUGGCCGAGGGCACGUCUGCCUGGGCGUCACGCAUCGCGUCGCCCCCCACAAUUCUUCGUAAAGGGAACAUGUGUUUUGGGGGCGGAUAUUGGUCUCCCGUGCUCAUGGCGUGGUUGGCCGAAAUAGGAGUCCUUUCGAUGGACGCACGAACUAGUGGUGGUCGUAAAAGCCCUCGUCUUUUGUUUCGUGCUGUUGCUCGCAAGGUAAACUCUUUAAAAACCCCAAUGUGUCGUCUCUUGACGACGCUUCGACCGCGAACCCAGGUCAGGCGGGACUACCCGCUGAGUUUAAGCAUAUCAAUAAGCGGAGGA
rnacentral:misc_RNA from 1 species